rnacentral:lncRNA from 1 species
GGCAGCGGCCAUGGGGAAAAUGGGCGGCGGAGAUCCGAGACCCACAGCAGGGUGUCCGAGUCUGGCUCGGUACAUUCAACACCGCUGAAGAAGCUGCGCAAGCCUACGAUGAAGCAGCCAAACGUAUCAGAGGUGGUAAGGCCAAGCUCAACUUUCCAUUACCACCGGCGAAGAAGCUGCGCACUGAGUCGACUCAGUCAACCGUCCAUGUACCACCAUCACCACGACCACCUACAUUACUGAGUUACGACCAGUUCCAAAAACAAUCUUACUACUCGAACAGUGUGGCUGAUGAGC